GUGUUAGCUUUUUGUUCAAGUCUUACUAUCGCUCAAAAAAGGACCACCAUAACUGGAGAUUUAACCAAGAACAAAGAUAUUGGAACAAGGGUAGAUCUUGGGAUUUCCCAUCAACGCAAAAAAUGGAGAUUUGACGGAUCAGCCUUUGGAUCAUCAAGAGGUCAUAGAGGAGGGAGUUUAGGGAUAUCACACAAACGUAAAAAUUUUGAAUUUGGAGGAUCAGUUUUCGGAGACAAUCGGGGAAAUCGAGGUGCGAAAGUAGGCUUCAAAUGGAAGUUUGGAAAGAGAUCUACAGCAUGGAACGGUGAACAUUUUGAAGUUCGAGUUGUAGUAAACCAUUGUGACUUCAAUGUUUAAGAUAUAAAUGAAGACAAUGUUAUCACAGUUGAUGAGAUUUAUGAACUAUUUCCUCAAAGAACUGAUGCACAUAGGUUGUUCAAGGCGCUUGAUUCUACAUCAGUUGAUGGUAAAGUGACCAUUGAUGAAUUUAAGAUGAUGGCACCACAAGUUAUAAAGAAAUGUGGAUAUAACAAGUAUACGUAUUAAUGAUAGUUCUUGUUAAAUAUAUAUCAUUGAAGCGAUAGUGAAAAUCAUACAUGUAAAUAAUAGAUCAAUAUCUGAAUAUUUUAUUAUAAAACAAAUGACAUAUG